rnacentral:rRNA from 1 species
GACGAACGCUGGCGGCGUGCUUAACACAUGCAAGUCGAACGGAAAGGCCCUGCUUUUGUGGGGUGCUCGAGUGGCGAACGGGUGAGUAACACGUGAGUAAACUGCCCUUGACUUUGGGAUAACUUCAGGAAACUGGGGCUAAUACCGGAUAGGAGCUCCUGCUGCAUGGUGGGGGUUGGAAAGUUUCGGCGGUUGGGGAUGGACUCGCGGCUUAUCAGCUUGUUGGUGGGGUAGUGGCUUACCAAGGCUUUGACGGGUAGCCGGCCUGAGAGGGUGACCGGCCACAUUGGGACUGAGAUACGGCCCAGACUCCUACGGGAGGCAGCAGUGGGGAAGCUUGCACAAUGGGCGGAAGCCUGAUGCAGCAACGCCGCGUGCGGGAUGACGGCCUUCGGGUUGUAAACCGCUUUCGCCUGUGACGAAGCGUGAGUGACGGUAAUGGGUAAAGAAGCACCGGCUAACUACGUG